CCUGGGAAUGCUGAACCAACUCAGAAUGUUCCGGUGCAAAGUCAAAUGUCAGAGCCGGACCUGAGAUACGCUGAGGCUUCCGAGGGGGCGCUGGCGGUAAAGAAGCCACCUGCCAAUGCCAGGGACAUAAGGUAUGUGGGUUCGAUCCCUGGGUUGGGAAGAUUCUUUGGAGGACGGCCUGGCAAUCCACUAUAGUAUCCUUGCCUGGAGAAUGCCAAGGACAGAGGGAGGAUCCUGGUAGGCUACAGCCCAUGCGGUCGCACAGAAAUAUGCCAGGCCUGCGAGCUCUGUGGGGACCUUCUGCUCUCCUUGAGGACAGCUGUGGUCUCAGAGCCUGAAUGGUGCCAAAUCUAUGCCAGGUGGUGAAGGGAAGCUUGGAGUGAGGUAGGGAUGCAGGGAGG
ensembl:lncRNA